CCGAGGAAAAGAAAUCAACCGAGAUUCCCCCAGUAGCGGCGAGCGAACGGGGAGGAGCCCAGAGCCUGAAUCAGCAUGUGUGUUAGUGGAAGCGUCUGGAAAGGCGCGCGAUACAGGGUGACAGCCCCGUACACAAAAGCGCAUGUGCUGUGAGCUCGAUGAGUAGGGCGGGACACGUGGUAUCCUGUCUGAAUAUGGGGGGACCAUCCUCCAAGGCUAAAUACUCCUGACUGACCGAUAGUGAACCAGUACCGUGAGGGAAAGGCGAAAAGAACCCCGGCGAGGGGAGUGAAAAAGAACCUGAAACCGUGU
rnacentral:rRNA from 1 species